GGCUGGUCCAAAGGUACCGAGUUACCUCAAUGGACUGUUUGCAGUCAGUUACAGAUGCAACUCCUUGUUCUACUCUUUCCCCCGUUCUCACUAUUGCACUUCACUAGUCUUUA
ensembl:misc_RNA Y_RNA Y RNA